UCGAGAAUUUUUCUCAAUGGGCGAAAGCUUGAAGGAGCGACGCCGCGUGGGGGAUGAAGGGCUUCGGCUCGUAAACCCCUGUCAUUUGCGAACAAACCCACUCAUCUAACACAUGGGUGGCUGAUAGUAGCGAAAGAGGAAGGGACGGCUAACUCUGUGCCAGCAGCCGCGGUAAUACAGAGGUCCCAAGCGUUGUUCGGAUUCACUGGGCGUAAAGGGUGCGUAGGUGGUGGUGGAAGUUCGAUGUGAAAUCUCCGGGCUUAACCCGGAAACGGCAUUGAAAACUCCACUGCUAGAGGAUCGGAGGGGAGACUGGAAUUCUCGGUGUAGCAGUGAAAUGCGUAGAUAUCGAGAGGAACACCAGUGGCGAAAGCGAGUCUCUGGACGAAACCUGACACUGAGGCACGAAAGCUAGGGGAUCAAACA
rnacentral:rRNA from 1 species